rnacentral:tRNA from 1 species
GCCGAAGUGGCGGAAGCUGGUAGACGCGCCAUCUUGAGGGGGUGGUGAGCGUAAGCUCUUAAGGGUUCAAAUCCCUUCUUCGGCACCA